UAUUGCAGCCAACCAUCAGUGUCUCUUUGACUUCCGCUCCUGACCCCUAUUGACUUCUUGCCUAUAGGACUUUGCAUUGGGGGAGACAUGCGCUUUUUUACAAAAGCAUUUUCUAGUUUUAUUUGAUUUCUCCCAUAAAAGGAUUGUGUUUUUUCCUUGACAUGAGAACAUUUCUGGCUCAAACAGCCAACAUUACUGGACAUUGCCCAUAGAUAGCAUGUAUUGUGGCAUUUUCUGCUCUAACCCAUAGAAAGAUAUCUGAGCUAGUCUUAUAGAAGAUCUCUCAUGUCAAACAAUUUAUUUAAUUCUGUUGUGACUUAAAACUCAGCCAAACUCUACAUUAAUGUAUAAAUAUGCAAGUUACGAGUUGCCUGAAAGAUUUUGUAAAUAUUGACUUCACUUACUGAAGAUGGAGGCGACAGUUAUGUGUUUACUUACGGAGGAUGUACUUUCAUUGCAGAUUUUGAGAUUUAUAAGUACACAAUACAAUAUUAAAAAAGGUUUGUCUAUAUUAACAUUAUAAGCAGACAAAAUAUUUCAUGAAUUGUGUUUUAUGAAACAUGAUGGUACAUUAGUUCCUGAUAAACUCACUGUUGUUGGCUAAAGAACAUGUCAAAAUAAUUUUACAUGGAUAAAAUAUUAAGGUAGUCUUUAUUUAUCUUAGAUUAUAACAACACUAUAUUAUAAGUAUAUGAAACAUUAGCUUAUACAAGAUGUUUUCAGACAGAACAGGAUUAUCGUGUUAGAAUUCAAACAAGUGAUUUACCAUAUACUGGAUAAGACAUUAGAAUUAAGGUGAGUGAGAUGUUUUAAAGAAACUUACUUGCACAUUUUAGGCAAAAAAUAACUUCUUUCAAAAAUCCAUAAAAAGUGACUAAUCUGACACUGACUAGUGGUACAAACUUGGUGACACAAGAUUUUUCCAAGAUAUUCUUAUAAAUAACAAAAUUAUUGUGCAAAAGGUAGUAAACACUUAUGAAAUAAUGCAGAAAAAUUUUCUUGCAUUUUUACCAAUAUCUAACUUUAAUUUUCACUCACUCUACCAUUUUUCAGUGUCAUUAUACAUUCUGUGCCAAACUUGGUGGAAAUGAAAAUGUUGAAAAUUUUCACCUAAACUCCAGGCAAGUAGCUUUAAGACAAAAGGACCUCAAAAUACUGAAUCAACAUGUUAUAUAUACUUUUGACCCUGUGUUAGCUGUCUCCUGUAUUAAGCAUCCACUUGCCUUAAGAAACCAGUCUGUUACCUUUUGGUCUACUAUUAGCCUGACAAAAGCCGCCAUUAUUAGUCACUCCUUUGGCUGUUCUUUAUAAGAAUAUUCCACAGUUAGAACACUUAGUUUCUUACAAAACAUUAAAAGAGUAUUGAAAUGUUAAUUAUCAAAUAUUUGCUAAGAACUAUAUCGUUAUCACUCUACACUAGAUAUUUAUUGCUCUACUUGCCAACAAGGUAAGAUUUUGAAAAGCAAUGGAAUAAGAAGGAAAACAGUUUCAUAUGGAAGAUCAAAAUUAAGUUACCGGUAUAUCUUUUUCUUGUGAACAACAGAUAUUUCUUUGGUCACUAUGUAUAAUAGGUAUAGAAUUUGUGUAAACGUUUUUUUUUUCAGAGUAUAUUUAUGUAAUAUAGAUGAAAAAAAAAUAUUUCGACCAUUUUGGAUCUAUAUAAUGUAAAAUUAGAUAUUUUCACAGAAUACAAGUUCGCUGUAUUUGAAAUUUGUAGAUAGAAGAACUGCCAUAUAUAUCCAGCUUGUUAUUCAUUAACCCUUACCCUGCUAAAUUUUUAUAAUGAACUUGCCCAAAUUUCAAUUUGGGCAGCACCACUUAUUUUUCAAAGGGUUGUUCACUGAAAAUUUACUGACUGAACAGCAAACAGUGCAGACCAUGAUCAGCCUGCACAGAUGUGCAGUCUGAUCUUGAUCUGCACUGGUCGCUUAAAGGCAGAAUAAUUUGCCUUUAGCAGGCUAAAGGUUAAAUACCAUUUAUAACUAGUAUAGCACUAGCAUGAAUAUUUAUUAUCCACAGUUAUCAAAUAAAGAAAAAAUCAAACCCCUUGCAAAAAAUUCUGAUUUUACAGUAGUGGCUUUUUGAACGGCUGUAAACCCCAGUUUGCCAGUUACUGAAUUCCUGAUUUACAUUUUAAAGUGUAUACCAAUUUUAUAAAUAAGUAAUUAUACAUAUACAUAAUAGUUUUUCAGUCGAGUGGCUGAAAACUGAAUUGUUGCUAGAUGUAUUAGUAUUGUGUAUACAUUGUAAGCAAUUUCUGAGAUUACACAAGUCAUGUUCAUUCAGCACUGUCAUAUUGUUAUGUAUAUAGAUAUAUCAAUUUGUAAAUUGAAAUAAAACACUGAAAACAUUUUGUUAAAA
rnacentral:lncRNA from 1 species